UACGGAGGAUCCGAGCGUUAUCCGGAUUUAUUGGGUUUAAAGGGUGCGCAGGCGGAAUAUUAAGUCGGCGGUGAAAGUUUGCAGCUUAACUGUAAAAUUGCCGUUGAUACUGGUAUUCUUGAGUGUAUAUGAAGUAGGCGGAAUUUGUAGUGUAGCGGUGAAAUGCAUAGAUAUUACAAGGAACUCCGAUUGCGAAGGCAGCUUACUAAAUUACAACUGACGCUUAGGCACGAAGGCGUGGGUAUCAAACAGGAUUAGAUACCCCCGUAGUCCCUGA
rnacentral:rRNA from 1 species